rnacentral:tRNA from 1 species
GCCUUUAUAGCUCAGUGGUAGAGCGCUUGACGUAUGUGAUACCAUUAUUCUUAACUUAACACGUCAAUCAAACUAACAGUUCCAAAGUUGUAUAUUGAACGGUAUCAAGAGGUCCGUGGUUCAAUCCCGCGUGGAGGCA